ensembl:lncRNA
GAAGAUAGUAAAGGGAAAAAAAGAAAAGCCAUGAAGGAGCAAAGUACUGAAGGAGCAAAGUACUGAAGGAUGAGGAUAAAUGAACAGAAGGAAUAUUAAGGUUGACUUUGAAAAAAAAAAUAAAAAAAACAAAUGAACAAACAAAAACUUUAAGAAAAAAGAGUCUGUUCUACUCUUGAUAAGAUUCCUAACCAAAAACAGAAGGAAAGAUAUCAUUCAAAACCUGACUAAGAGAACCCAGUGAACAUAUAAGAGCAACUAAACCUGCAUUGGCAGAGAGACAGCUGACAAGAUUUAUUCAUUCUUUUCCAACUGUAGUGAUUAAGACCAUGAAGCAAAGAGUAAUCAGUUUGAGCAGUGGAUGUUGAAGCUAAUUUACAUUUCUGCAGACUUUUUCUUUCAUAAAAGUUCCAGUGUGAACAGGUAAUUGGCAGCCACCUAUUAAUUGUCUAGUCAAAGCCAAAGGGCCAGCUGGCAUUAUUUCACAUCCCUCUCUCCCAGGGUUCCUAGAGGAAUUCUGGGUAAGAUACAAACAGUGUUUUACAGCAGCAAUUAGUUUAUUCCUGGGGCAAAGUACAAAUAGAAGAGGGUAUGUAUAUGCAGCAAGACCUUGUUUCCUAUUCCACUGUGACUGAGGAAAUGACAACCAGUUGGCAGUGGGCCAUGCAAAUAAAAAAUACCAGCUGGAAAACUGUAUUAUUUUUGUCCCAGAUGACAAAAGGUUUUGAGCAUUUCAUGCCAGUAUUUUUUUGAGAUUGUGUUAGUGGCAGCCCAAAAAGGUAAGUGUACUUUUCUACCACAUAUUGCAUUUAAAGUACAAGUAAAGAAUUAUAUAUUAGGAUAAAAUAUUAACUAGUUAUUUUAACUAUUAACUAUAUUAACUAUUAAUUAUUAACUAUUUUAGUAAGUUAAUAAUAAUCUUUAGUAACUGAAAGAAUGUUAUUUUGAUGAGAUUUAAUUGUGGUUAGUAUUGAAGAUGACAAAUUGUCAAAGAACAAAUUGGGCAUAGAAUGAAGAAAAGCAGAGGCUCUUUGGAAAAUAAUAGAAUGCUCUCAGGGAUCUCAUUCAGUUCUCUCAAAUCAUUCAUUAGUAAGAUAUAUUCUAUGAUGCUUUCUUCACAUUUUUCAACUUCUUUUCUGUAUGAAAAUUUAUCAAAUAUAAUGUAAUUCACGUUUUAUAUACAAUACUUAUAUAUAUAGUCCAAAAUAUUUAGAAAUUGAUUGGAUAACACAAAGUUUCACACUUUGUGACACGGGUCUUCCACUAGUUAGUGCACAGCAGUUUGCUUUAGCUGCUAGUGUUAUUUAAAUAUGUUUACAUUAUUCAGUAGCUACAAAGGUCUAGAAAUGUGAAAAACAGGAUGUAUCCCUUGGAAAGCUAACAGUUUAUAGCUGUGUGAUUACAACAUCUUAAAUAGUUUUCGGAGAUUCUUGACAUGAGAUCUCUGAGGUCUGGUAGACCUGACGCAAUAGCAAACAGACAUUACUAACUGUAAAUGAAAUACAAAAAGGUACACAUGGAACAUGUACACCCUGAAAAUGCCAUUUUUUCUAACUUUUAAGCAAUCUUCUCUCUAAAUAUGUCAGAAGAGAUAUAGUAGAGUCUCUUUUAUUCCGUUUCCAUUUAAUGUACAUAAAUUAAAUUAAUGAGACUAGUUUGUCCACUGUCUUUUGGGGGUUUUAUUAUUUAUUUGUUUGUUUUAAAUCUAAAAUAUUAUUGCUCUGAUACCGUUCAUAUGAGAUCCUGACCAGAAAGUGCUAAUUCAUCUUUUAAAUCAGUAAGAUUUUAUUCCAACAAAUUGUAAACUGCAACCAUGACAUAUUGAUUACCUAAGUCUUUCCUAUGUAACUUUUUGAGUUUUUUAGUUGCCUUCUCAAUCCAUCUUCCAGAAGCUAUUUUUCAGAAUCUUUGUACCACAAUUUACUGUUACUAGCACAUUAAAUCUUGCCUUUGGCUAGAAAUAAUUUUAUGAUUUGGCAUGGUAUGUGUAUAGGUACACACUCAGGAAAAUUUUUUGGUUUAAUUUAUUAAACAGAAAAAGACAUAUGCUAGUGUGCUAAUCAUAUCUCUUUUCAAAAUAAAAAAAAUAAUUUUAAAAAGGUUCA